rnacentral:rRNA from 1 species
UGUGAGGCUGAUGUGUAGGCAAAUCCGCACAUCGUUAAGGCUGGGCUGUGAUGGGGAGCGAAAAUUGCAGUAGCGAAGGUCAUGAGUUCAGGCUGCCAAGAAAAGCCUCUAGCCAGGUGAAGGUGCCCGUACCGCAAACCGACACAGGUAGGCGAGCAGAGUAUGCUAAGGCGCUCGGAAGAACUCUCGUUAAGGAACUCGGCAAAAUGACCCCGUAACUUCGGGAGAAGGGGUGCCUCGGUAGGGUGAAUAGCCCGAGGGGGCCGCAGUGAAAAGGCCCAAGCGACUGUUUAGCAAAAACACAGGUCUGUGCGAAGCCGUAAGGCGAAGUAUACGGGCUGACGCCUGCCCGGUGCUGGAAGGUUAAGGGGAGUGGUUAGCCGCAAGGCGAAGCUAUGAACCGAAGCCCCAGUAAACGGCGGCCGUAACGAUAACGGUCCUAAGGUAGCGAAAUUCCUUGUCAGGUAAAUUCUGACCCGCACGAAUGGCGUAACGACUUGGGCGCUGUCUCAACGAGAGAUCCGGUGAAAUUUUAAUACCUGUUAAGAUGCAGGUUACCCGCGACAAGACGGAAAGACCCCAUGGAGCUUUACUGCAGCUUGAUAUUGGACUUUGGUACGAUCUGUACAGGAUAGGUGGGAGCCUUGGAAACCGGAGCGCCAGCUUCGGCGGAGGCAUCGUUGGGAUACCACCCUGAUCGUAUCGGAGUUCUAACCUGGUACCGUGAUCCGGUACAGGGACCGUGUCAGGUGGGCAGUUUGACUGGGGCGGUCGCCUCCUAAAAUGUAACGGAGGCGCCCAAAGGUUCCCUCAGAAUGGUUGGAAAUCAUUCGUAGCGUGCAAAGGCAUAAGGGAGCUUGACUCGAGACCUACAAGUCGAGCAGGGACGAAAGUCGGGCUUAGUGAUCCGGUGGUACCGCAUGGAAGGGCCAUCGCUCAACGGAUAAAAGCUACCCUGGGGAUAACAGGCUUAUCUCCCCCAAGAGUCCACAUCGACGGGGAGGUUUGGCACCUCGAUGUCGGCUCAUCGCAUCCUGGGGCUGAAGUAGGUCCCAAGGGUUGGGCUGUUCGCCCAUUAAAGCGGUACGCGAGCUGGGUUCAGAACGUCGUGAGACAGUUCGGUCCCUAUCUGUCGUGGGCGUAGGAAAUUUGAGAGGAGCUGUCCUUAGUACGAGAGGACCGGGAUGGACGCACCGCUGGUGUACCAGUUGUUCCGCCAGGAGCAUAGCUGGGUAGCUACGUGCGGACGGGAUAAGCGCUGAAAGCAUCUAAGCGUGAAGCCCCCCUCAAGAUGAGAUUUCCCAGUAUGUAAGACCCCUGGAAGACGACCAGGUUGAUAGGUUCGAGGUGGAAGCGCAGCAAUGCGUGGAGCUGACGAAUACUAAUCGGUCGAGGGCUUAUCC